AGAGUUUGAUCCUGGCUCAGAUUGAACGCUGGCGGCAGGCCUAACACAUGCAAGUCGAGCGGUAGAGAGAAGCUUGCUUCUCUUGAGAGCGGCGGACGGGUGAGUAAUACCUAGGAAUCUGCCUGGUAGUGGGGGAUAACGUUCGGAAACGGACGCUAAUACCGCAUACGUCCUACGGGAGAAAGCAGGGGACCUUCGGGCCUUGCGCUAUCAGAUGAGCCUAGGUCGGAUUAGCUAGUUGGUGAGGUAAUGGCUCACCAAGGCUACGAUCCGUAACUGGUCUGAGAGGAUGAUCAGUCACACUGGAACUGAGACACGGUCCAGACUCCUACGGGAGGCAGCAGUGGGGAAUAUUGGACAAUGGGCGAAAGCCUGAUCCAGCCAUGCCGCGUGUGUGAAGAAGGUCUUCGGAUUGUAAAGCACUUUAAGUUGGGAGGAAGGGCAUUAACCUAAUACGUUAGUGUUUUGACGUUACCGACAGAAUAAGCACCGGCUAACUCUGUGCCAGCAGCCGCGAUAAUACAGAGGGUGCAAGCGUUAAUCGGAAUUACUGGGCGUAAAGCGCGCGUAGGUGGUUUGUUAAGUUGAAUGUGAAAUCCCCGGGCUCAACCUGGGAACUGCAUCCAAACUGGCAAGCUAGAGUAUGGUAGAGGGUAGUGGAAUUUCCUGUGUAGCGGUGAAAUGCGUAGAUAUAG
rnacentral:rRNA from 1 species